UUCAUGAGGAUCUGGAGGUCCUCUUACCAUAGAGAUGCAUAGGGAUUAACCAGCCCACAGUGACAGGAAGUAGAAACUAUAGAGACAGGAAGGAGGAACCAUAGAGACAGGAAGUGAGAUUAGAAGGAUAUAAAAAGGACUCAAUGUCAGUUGGUCAGCUUGUCAGUUGCUGACAGAUAGCCUUACAGUAAAGAUAGUAAGUCACUGCCCACCAUGAAGUCCAGUGGCGGUGUGUGCCUGCUCUCCUGAUGCCUGCCACUGCCUGCUGUUUCUCCUGUCCAUCUGCUUGGCCAGUAUUCCUCACCACUCUCCACCCAGUUUGGAGCCUCCUCUUGCAGAGACCAGACUUACCACAAGAGCCUGCCAAUCCCAGCCAUUUUUUUCCACAGAGGAAGGUAUUAAUGAGCAUGUCCUGUUCUGGAGGAGAAGAAAUAUCAAAGGUUCUAGAGAAAGAUUCACCUCCCAGGAAGGUCAUCAAGCUGAUCAGCUUGAAGAAGGCAGAGUUUAGUUCCAAAUAUGGAAGAAAUUCCUACCAGUUAGAGUUGGCGGAUUACAGGAUGAUCUUUGGCCUAGGAAGAACACAACAAAAAUGGUGAGCAGAAAUUGGAAACACAAGAUAAGUGAGGAGAUCAUAACAUAUGACUGCCUUUAAUGAUUGCAAGUUACCAGGCUUGGGCAUCUUGGACAUAUGGUGCUGAAAGACUGAGGUCCUAGGUGCUCCUACUGCUGAACUUCUCCAAGUUCUCUUGGAAAGAUUUUUUUAAAAAAUGAAAGAUAUCUUCAGACUAAAGAAAUCCCUCAAAGUUAUUUUGUGUUCACUGUACAUACAUUUUUUAAUUGAAAUUUUAUUUAAUUAAUUGAUUUAGAAUAUUUUUCCAUGGUUACAUGAUUGAUGUUCUUUCCCUCCCUUCUGCCCACCCCCCUCCAGUAGCCAACGAGCAAUUCCACUGGGUUUUACAUUUACAUACAUUUUUAAUCUCUUCUAUAUGUAUUUAUAUUCCCCUUAGAAACAAUACUUUGUAAGGUCUUUGAAGAUAUUUAAUUUCAUUUUUGCCUUUUUAGGCAUAGUGCCUGGCACAUAAUAAAUGCUUUUUAAUUAAUUUUAAAAAGGAGAAG
rnacentral:lncRNA from 1 species